rnacentral:rRNA from 1 species
UGCAGUCGAGCGAACAGAUGAGAAGCUUGCUUCUCUGAUGUUAGCGGCGGACGGGUGAGUAACACGUGGGUAACCUACCUAUAAGACUGGGAUAACUCCGGGAAACCGGGGCUAAUACCGGAUAAUAUUUUGAACCGCAUGGUUCAAUAGUGAAAGACGGUUUCGGCUGUCACUUAUAGAUGGACCCGCGCCGUAUUAGCUAGUUGGUAAGGUAAUGGCUUACCAAGGCGACGAUACGUAGCCGACCUGAGAGGGUGAUCGGCCACACUGGAACUGAGACACGGUCCAGACUCCUACGGGAGGCAGCAGUAGGGAAUCUUCCGCAAUGGGCGAAAGCCUGACGGAGCAACGCCGCGUGAGUGAUGAAGGUCUUCGGAUCGUAAAACUCUGUUGUUAGGGAAGAACAAAUUUGUUAGUAACUGAACAAGUCUUGACGGUACCUAACCAGAAAGCCACGGCUAACUACGUGCCAGCAGCCGCGGUAAUACGUAGGUGGCAAGCGUUAUCCGGAAUUAUUGGGCGUAAAGCGCGCGUAGGCGGUUUCUUAAGUCUGAUGUGAAAGCCCACGGCUCAACCGUGGAGGGUCAUUGGAAACUGGGAAACUUGAGUGCAGAAGAGGAGAGUGGAAUUCCAUGUGUAGCGGUGAAAUGCGCAGAGAUAUGGAGGAACACCAGUGGCGAAGGCGGCUCUCUGGUCUGUAACUGACGCUGAUGUGCGAAAGCGUGGGGAUCAAACAGGAUUAGAUACCCUGGUAGUCCACGCCGUAAACGAUGAGUGCUAAGUGUUAGGGGGUUUCCGCCCCUUAGUGCUGCAGCUAACGCAUUAAGCACUCCGCCUGGGGAGUACGACCGCAAGGUUGAAACUCAAAGGAAUUGACGGGGACCCGCACAAGCGGUGGAGCAUGUGGUUUAAUUCGAAGCAACGCGAAGAACCUUACCAAAUCUUGACAUCCUUUGACCGCUCUAGAGAUAGAGUCUUCCCCUUCGGGGGACAAAGUGACAGGUGGUGCAUGGUUGUCGUCAGCUCGUGUCGUGAGAUGUUGGGUUAAGUCCCGCAACGAGCGCAACCCUUAAGCUUAGUUGCCAUCAUUAAGUUGGGCACUCUAGGUUGACUGCCGGUGACAAACCGGAGGAAGGUGGGGAUGACGUCAAAUCAUCAUGCCCCUUAUGAUUUGGGCUACACACGUGCUACAAUGGAUAAUACAAAGGGCAGCGAAUCCGCGAGGCCAAGCAAAUCCCAUAAAAUUAUUCUCAGUUCGGAUUGUAGUCUGCAACUCGACUACAUGAAGCUGGAAUCGCUAGUAAUCGUAGAUCAGCAUGCUACGGUGAAUACGUUCCCGGGUCUUGUACACACCGCCCGUCACACCACGAGAGUUUGUAACACCCGAAGCCGGUGGAGUAACCUUUUAGGAGCUAG